GAUGAACGCUAGCGGGAGGCUUAACACAUGCAAGUCGAGGGGUAAAUGGUAGCAAUACUAUGAGACCGGCGAACGGGUGCGUAACGCGUAUGCAACUUACCUUAUGCAGGGGGAUAGCCCGUGGAAACGCGGAUUAAUAUCCCAUAGAUCAGUAAUAUCGCAUGGUAUAACUGGUAAAACUCAGGUGGCAUAAGAUGGGCAUGCGUCUGAUUAGCUAGUUGGUAGGGUAACGGCCUACCAAGGCGACGAUCAGUAGGGGUUCUGAGAGGAUUAACCCCCACACUGGUACUGAGACACGGACCAGACUCCUACGGGAGGCAGCAGUGAGGAAUAUUGGUCAAUGGGCGCAAGCCUGAACCAGCCAUCCCGCGUGAAGGAAGAAGGCCCUACGGGUUGUAAACUUCUUUUCUGUUUGAAGAAUAAGCUCGUCGAGACGAGUGAUGCCGGUAGGACAGGAAUAAGCAUCGGCUAACUCCGUGCCAGCAGCCGCGGUAAAACGU
rnacentral:rRNA from 1 species